GGGUUGUGAGGUUAAGCGACUAAGCGUACACGGUGGAUGCCCUGGCAGUCAGAGGCGAUGAAGGGCGUGCUAAUCUGCGAUAAGCGCCGGUAAGGUGAUAUGAACCGUUAUAACCGGCGAUACCCGAAUGGGGAAACCCAGUGUGAUUCGUCACACUAUCAUUAACUGAAUCCAUAGGUUAAUGAGGCGAACCGGGGGAACUGAAACAUCUAAGUACCCCGAGGAAAAGAAAUCAACCGAGAUUCCCCCAGUAGCGGCGAGCGAACGGGGAGGAGCCCAGAGCCUGAAUCAGCAUGUGUGUUAGUGGAAGCGUCUGGAAAGGCGCGCGAUACAGGGUGACAGCCCCGUACACAAAAGCGCAUGUGUUGUGAGCUCGAUGAGUAGGGCGGGACACGUGGUAUCCUGUCUGAAUAUGGGGGGACCAUCCUCCAAGGCUAAAUACUCCUGACUGACCGAUAGUGAACCAGUACCGUGAGGGAAAGGCGAAAAGAACCCCGGCGAGGGGAGUGAAAAAGAACCUGAAACCGUGUACGUACAAGCAGUGGGAGCACCCUUGGGUGUGACUGCGUACCUUUUGUAUAAUGGGUCAGCGACUUAUAUUCUGUAGCAAGGUUAACCGAAUAGGGGAGCCGAAGGGAAACCGAGUCUUAACCGGGCGUUAAGUUGCAGGGUAUAGACCCGAAACCCGGUGAUCUAGCCAUGGGCAGGUUGAAGGUUGGGUAACACUAACUGGAGGACCGAACCGACUAAUGUUGAAAAAUUAGCGGAUGACCUGUGGCUGGGGGUGAAAGGCCAAUCAAACCGGGAGAUAGCUGGUUCUCCCCGAAAGCUAUUUAGGUAGCGCCUCGUGAAUUCAUCUCCGGGGGUAGAGCACUGUUUCGGCUAGGGGGCCAUCCCGGCUUACCAACCCGAUGCAAACUGCGAAUACCGGAGAAUGUUAUCACGGGAGACACACGGCGGGUGCUAACGUCCGUCGUGAAGAGGGAAACAACCCAGACCGCCAGCUAAGGUCCCAAAGUCAUGGUUAAGUGGGAAACGAUGUGGGAAGGCCCAGACAGCCAGGAUGUUGGCUUAGAAGCAGCCAUCAUUUAAAGAAAGCGUAAUAGCUCACUGGUCGAGUCGGCCUGCGCGGAAGAUGUAACGGGGCUAAACCAUGCACCGAAGCUGCGGCAGCGA
rnacentral:rRNA from 1 species